rnacentral:rRNA from 1 species
AACGAACGCUGGCGGCAGGCCUAACACAUGCAAGUCGAGCGAGGACUUCGGUCCUAGCGGCGGACGGGUGAGUAACGCGUGGGAACGUGCCCUCUUCUUCGGAAUAGCCUCGGGAAACUGGGAGUAAUACCGGAUACGCCCUUUGGGGGAAAGAUUUAUCGGAGGAGGAUCGGCCCGCGUUGGAUUAGGUAGUUGGUGGGGUAAUGGCCUACCAAGCCGACGAUCCAUAGCUGGUUUGAGAGGAUGAUCAGCCACACUGGGACUGAGACACGGCCCAGACUCCUACGGGAGGCAGCAGUGGGGAAUCUUAGACAAUGGGGGAAACCCUGAUCUAGCCAUGCCGCGUGAGCGAUGAAGGCCUUAGGGUUGUAAAGCUCUUUCAGUGGGGAAGAUAAUGACGGUACCCACAGAAGAAGCCCCGGCUAACUCCGUGCCAGCAGCCGCCGUAAGAC